UCGAUGGCACUCUCAUCGAUGGGGGGUGUCAUAGGUAUUCUGCUCCUUCGAUCUUCAUGAGGAUCUGCGCACGGAGCACAGAGAGAGGAGUGUAGGAGUCAUACCUGUCGUAAUUCGAUCUCGAACUCCAUCGUCGAGGCGAAGCUUGUUCAUCGAUAGGUGGCCGACUUAAUUCAGCCGGAGCUUCUUCUUUCUUCUAUUUCUUCUUCUUCUUCUGACUUUUGCCUUCUGUUUGGCGUCGGUCAGAAGCUCCUUCGUCUACGUGCAUAUAUUUGUAUGCACGCUCCAGAAGUUCAGUAUAAGUCCGAGAGAGAGUCUUGUCCAAAGAAUACGUGAAUCGAGAUCUCCUCAGAUCUCUUUUCAUAGUCGAUAUGGU
rnacentral:lncRNA from 1 species